rnacentral:rRNA from 1 species
CAUGCAAGUCGAGCGGCAGCGCGGGGGCAACCCUGGCGGCGAGCGGCGAACGGGUGAGUAAUGCAUCGGAACGUGUCCAGAAGUGGGGGAUAACCCGGCGAAAGCCGGGCUAAUACCGCAUAUUCUCCACGGAGGAAAGCGGGGGAUCGCAAGACCUCGCGCUUUUGGAGCGGCCGAUGCCCGAUUAGCUUGUUGGUGGGGUAAUGGCCUACCAAGGCGACGAUCGGUAGCUGGUCUGAGAGGAUGAUCAGCCACACUGGGACUGAGACACGGCCCAGACUCCUACGGGAGGCAGCAGUGGGGAAUUUUGGACAAUGGGGGAAACCCUGAUCCAGCCAUGCCGCGUGCGGGAAGAAGGCCUUCGGGUUGUAAACCGCUUUUAGCUGGGAAGAAAAGAUCACGGAUAACACCCGUGGUUCUUGACGGUACCGGCGGAAUAAGCACCGGCUAACUACGUGCCAGCAGCCGCGGUAAUACGUAGGGUGCGAGCGUUAAUCGGAAUUACUGGGCGUAAAGCGUGCGUAGGCGGUUCGUUGUGUCUGUGGUGAAAGCCCCGGGCUUAACCUGGGAAUUGCCAUGGAAACUGGCGAGCUUGAGUGUGGCAGAGGGGGGGUGGAAUUCCGCGUGUAGCAGUGAAAUGCGUAGAGAUGCGGAGGAACACCGAUGGCGAAGGCAGCCCCCUGGGCUAGCACUGAC